rnacentral:tRNA from 1 species
AACGGACCUGGGGGCAGAGCCGUUGGGUGGUGGCAGGACACGAGCUGCCGAAGGAGCCAGGGGCAAAUGACAGAACUAGCAAUGUUCUGUCACCAUUCUGGUCGUCUUGGAGAUCGGAUGCCAGAAGCGGUGUGUGCAAAGCAGAAAGCAUCAUCAAAUCACGACUCGAGGGUACCACACCUUCUGAUGGCAGCCUUGGAAAAAAAAAGAAGUAAUGUUGCUAUCUGCCUGUUUGCCCUCACUCUCACUGCCUGGUCCCUCUACCCUGCUGCUGAGGCAGUCCUUCCCUGGUAAUUAGAACUUACUUUUUCAGGAUUCCAACACAGAUCAAAGAAGCAAAUCUGUCACGGAUCAUUAUAAUCUGAGGCAGUCCAUCUCAAGAAGAUCACCUGCUAGUUAUUAGCUUGUCCAAUAAAGGUUUCUGACAAUUGGCUGACUAAAGAGAAAACGAAGACAUGUUUUACUGACUGUUCUGCACAUUAUGAAAGCACUACCCAGAGGUUGACAGCUGCAGCAUUACAACCCCUUUUUGGGACAAUCCUGAAAGAUACUGGUGAAGGGAAAUCUUUGCAGUGGGCAGAGCUUCAGGCAGUACACAUUGUAUUGCAGUUUGUUUUGAAGAAGAAAUGGCCAGAUGUACAAUUGUUCACUGACCUGGAUGUAUCAAAUGGAUUGGCUGGAUGGUCAGGGACUUGGAAAGAUCAGGAUUGGAAAAUUGAUGAGAAAGACAUCUGGGGAAGAAGUAUGUGGAUAAAUCUCUCCAAAUAGGCAAAGAAUUCGAAGAUAUUUGUGACCCAUGUAAAUGCUCACCAAAAUGUGACUUCAGCUGAGGAGGAGUUCAAUAAUCAAGUGGAUAAGAUGACCCGUUCUGUGGACAGUCAGCCUAUUUCCCCAGCCAACCCUGUCAUUGCUCAAUGGGCACACGAACAAACCAGUCAUGGUGGCCGAGAUGGAGGUUAUGCUUAGGCUCAACAACAUGGACUUCUACUCACCAAGGCUGACCUGGCUAUAGCUGCUGAUCAAUGCCAGAUCUGCCAAUAACAGAGACCCAACACUGAGCCCCAGAUAUGGCACCAUUCCUUGAGGUGACCAGCCAGCAACCUGGUGGCAGGUUUACAACAUUGGCCCACUUCCUUCAUGGAAAGGACAAUGUUUUGUUCUUAUUGGAGUAGAUACUUAUUCUGGUUAUAGAUUUGCCUUUCCUGCAUGUAAUGGUUCUACCAGUUCCAUGGACUUACAGAAUGCCUUAUCCACCAUCAUGUUAUUCUACAGUAUUGUUUUUGACCAAGGAACUCACUUCACAGAGAAGUGUAGCAGUGGACCCAUGAUCAUGGAAUCCACUGGUCUUGCCAUUUCCUCACCAUCCAGAAGCAGCUGGCCUGACAGAAAGAUUGAAUGGCCUUUUGAAGACACAGUUACAGCAUCAGUUAGGUGGCAGUGGCAUGGAGGGCUGGGGCAGGGUUCUUCAGAAGGCAGUAUAUGGUUUGAAUCAGUAUCUGAUAUAUGGUACAGUUUCUCCCAUAGCCAGGAUCCAUGGGUCCAGGAAUCAAGGGGUGGAAAGGGGAAUAGUUCCACUCACUAUCACUUCUAGUGACCCUCUAGAAAAAUUUUUGCUUUCUGUCCCCACAACCCUAAGUUCUGCUGGGCUAGAAAUUUUGGUUCCAGAGACGGUGUGCUCCUACCAGGAGCCACAACACAUAUUCCUUUGAACUGGAAGUUCCGACUUCUCCUUGGUUAUUUUGGGCUUCUAAUGCCCUUAAACCAACAGUCCAGGAAAGCAAUAACAGUGUUAGGAAGGGUGAUAGAUCCAGAUUACCAUGGGACAAUUGGAUUGCCUCUCCACAAUGGAGGUAAGAAGGAUUAUGUCUGGAGUGCAGGAGAUCCCUUAGGGCGUGUCUUAGUAUGACCAUGUCCUGUGAUUAAAGUCAAUGGGAAACUACAACUGUUCAAUCCAAUUAGGAUGGCAAUCAGGAAUGAAGUUAUGGGAGUCCAGGAAAAGAACCAAGACCUGCUGAGGUGUUCGAAAAGGGUGGAGGAAAUACAGAAUGGGUAGUAGAGGAAGGUAGUUAUAAAUACCAUCUAAGGCCACGUGACCCAUUGCAGAAAUGAGGAUUAUAAAGUAAUAUGAAUGCUUCUGUUUUAUUUUAUCAAGAACACAUUUGUAUAGAUAGGGACAUUGACCUAUUUUAAAUUUACAAUGUGUUUGCUAUUGUAAGUUAUAUUAGGUCAGGCAUAUUUAUGACCUGGUUAUUGUUUCAUUUGGACAUGAGAUAUGAUUUGUAUCAAGUUCACAAGGGGUGGAUUGUGGUGGCUAUUCCUGGUUGUCAACUUGACUAUAUCUGGAACGAACUACAAUCCAGAAUUGGAGGGCUCACCUGUGAUCCAGAUCUCGAGGCUGGAAGACACAAGUUCUGACCUGGAUAUUGACUUGGAGAUCCUGAGGCAUAGUGGCCAUGAAAAAUUUAGGCCAAGGGAAGAUAGUACACACCUUUAAUCCCAGAGACUGGGGAAUCUCUGAGCUCAAGGUCAGCCUGGAACAAAACAAGUCACAGAUCCAGGUGUGGUGGCACACACCUUUAAUCUGGGCCACACCUUCUGCUGGAGGCCUUAUAAGGACAUUGGAAAAAGGAAGAUUCACUCUUUAACUGCUUGCACUUACCUGCCAGCACAUGUGCUGGAAUCUACUUUUACAGAAGACCAGUUGAAACAAGUAGCCUCAUGAACCUGAACAACUACUAGAUUCUUAGAUUUCCAAUCCACAGUUGGCCGUUGUUGGACUACAGACUGUAGGUAUUCACAAUAAAUCCCUUAAUAUAGAGAGACAUGAAGAAAAGAUGGGCCAAUCUGACUGGAACUGUUUGGGGUGCAUGCACUGUAAUGCAAAAACUGUCCUUUAGUAACCUUUUAAGGAGAAACCUAUAUUUGCUGUCUUAUGCCUAUGCAUAAUUGGGUAUGCAUAUGAUUAAACUCAGGUGCAUUAUGGGUAGCAACAUGAACAAUAAGAAACAAUUGAAAUAUGUGACCCAAUCUAUCAUUCAAAACACAGAACUGGGGUUGGGGAUUUAGCUCAGUGGUAGAGCGCUUGCCUAGCAAGCACAAGGCCCUGGGUUCGGUCCCCAGCUCCAAAAAAAAACCAAACAAACCACAGAACCACUUAAAUUACCUGAUUUAGUAGCCUGGCAUUCUGUGCUGGCUCCUCCCUUAGUAACCAACCCCUGUGCUGGCUCCUCCCCUUAGUAACCACCCUCUGUGCUGGCUCCUCCGCUUAGUAACCAGCCCUCUGUCCUGACUCCUCCCCUUAGUAACCGGCUUUCUGUGCUGGCUUCUCCCCUUAGUAACCAGCCCUCCGUCUUGACUCCUCCUCUUAGUAACCAGCCCUCUGUGCUGUCUAGUUUUUUGUCAACCUGACACAAACUAGAGUUUAGAGGAGGGAAUCUCAACCAAGAAAAGGUUUCCAUAAAAAUGAUGCUGUAGACAAGCCUGUAGGACAUUUUCUUAAUUAGUGAUUGGUGUGGGAGGUUCCACCCCAUCGUGGAUUCCAUAAGAAAGCAAGCUGAAGAGCCAUAAGGAGAGAGCCAGUAAGCAGCACUUCUCUCUGGCCUCUGCAGCAGCUCUUGCCUUCAGGUUCCUGCCCUGUUUGAGUUUCUGCUCUGAUUUCUUUGAAACAGACUGUGAUGUGGCAGAGGUAGCCAAAUAAACCCUUUUCUACCAAA